GUGCCAGCCGCCGCGGUAAUACGGAGGGUGCAAGCGUUGUCCGGAAUCACUGGGCGUAAAGGGUGUGCAGGUGGGGCAGCAAGUCAGAGGUGAAAUCCCGCGGCUUAACCACGGAAGUGCCUUCGAAACUGUUGCUCUUGAGUCCCGGAGAGGUUGCCGGAAUUCGUGGUGUAGCGGUGAAAUGCGUAGAUAUCACGAGGAACGCCAGAGGCGAAAGCGGGCAACUGGACGGGUACUGACGCUCAGGCACGAAAGCGCGGGGAGCAAACAGGAUUAGAAACCCUUGUAGUCC
rnacentral:rRNA from 1 species